GGCCAAAAGAACCACGAAGACUCCUCAGCUGGGUCUCCCGAGCAUGUCUGCAGCCAAAGGCUGGGGAAGGCACCAGCAAACACCAGCCUAGAAGGCUGCCCUGAAGACACAAGAAGACGGAAACACUAUUUUUGUUUCAAGGCCAAAACCUUCCCAA